rnacentral:rRNA from 1 species
CACGUAGGAUUCAAGCGUUAUCCGAAUUUACUGGGCGUAAAGCGCAUGCAGGCGGUUUGGUAAGUUGGAUGUGAAAGCUCCUGGCUCAACUGGGAGAGGCCGUUCAAAACUACCAGACUUGAGGACAGUAGAGGAAGAUGGAAUUACCGGUGUAGUAGUGAAAUGCGUAGAUAUCGGUAGGAACACCAGUGGCGAAGGCGGUCUUCUGGACUGUUUCUGACGCUCAGAUGCGAAAGCUAGGGUAGCGAAUGGG